GACGAACCGAGCGAACGUUGUUCGGAAUCACUGGGCUUAAAGGGCGCGUAGGCGGGUGCUCAAGUCCGUGGUGAAAUCCCUCGGCUUAACCGGGGAACUGCGUCUGAUACUGGAUGGCUUGAGGUUGGGAGAGGGAUGCGGAAUUCCAGGUGUAGCGGUGAAAUGCGUAGAUAUCUGGAGGAACACCGGUGGCGAAGGCGGCAUCCUGGACCAAUUCUGACGCUGAGGAGCGAAAGCCAGGGGAGCAAACGGG
rnacentral:rRNA from 1 species